UGCAGGAUGCUUUGACCCUGGUAAUCCAGGAUUCAAAAUCUUGUUGGUUUUUCAUUCUAGCCAUUAGAUCUGGGACUGUUUCACAUCUGGUGAAGGUAAAAGACGGAAGCAGGAAACAAGCUAAAAAUAACUAUUUAUGCAGUAUGCAGUCUGUGAUCCGUGAUCCAUAAAUGUAAGGGAAAAACAAAAUCACAGCAGCUGUGUAAUAUCCAGGACUCGCAUACCUUGGUGGAUCCCUUGUUAGCCACCCUUUGGUCAGUGCCAUUUUACAUGCAGCCAGCAGCACAGCAAUCCCAAAAUAUAUGGUGUGCUGCUUCAUAGCCACAGUUCCUCCAAUAUUCGAAGCCUCCAUCAUCAUAGUGUGCUGC